rnacentral:pre_miRNA from 1 species
GGAAAUUUGGAAAGUACUGUUGGAUUGAAAAAUAGACGUACGAGAUUUGUCCACGUCAUCACAGGUAAAAUAACGUGGAUGAAUCUCGGCCGUCCAUUUUUCAAUCCAACGGUAGUUUCUAAGUUUUC